GAACGAACGCUGGCGGCAGGCCUAACACAUGCAAGUCGAGCGCCCGGAUUUAUCCGGGAGCGGCGCACGGGUGAGUAACGCGUGGGAACAUGCCCUGAAGUACGGAACAACCUGGGGAAACCUUGGCUAAUACCGUAUACGCCCUGAGGGGGAAAGAUUUAUCGCUUUGGGAUUGGCCCGCGUUGGAUUAGCUAGUUGGUGUGGUAACGGCGCACCAAGGCGACGAUCCAUAACUGGUCUGAGAGGAUGACCAGUCACACUGGGACUGAGACACGGCCCAGACUCCUACGGGAGGCAGCAGUGGGGAAUAUUGGACAAUGGGCGAAAGCCUGAUCCAGCCAUGCCGCGUGAGUGAAGAAGGCCUUCGGGUUGUAAAGCUCUUUCAGCGGGGACGAUGAUGACGGUACCCGCAGAAGAAGCCCCGGCUAACUUCGU
rnacentral:rRNA from 1 species